rnacentral:tRNA from 1 species
GCCUUCGUGGGGUAAUGGUAACACCCUCGACAUGUAUUCGAGAGGUCCAGGUUCGAGUCUCGACGAAGGCA